GAUGAACGCUAGCGGCAGGCCUAACACAUGCAAGUCGAGGGGUAACUAGAGUGAUAGCAAUAUUACUUUGGCUAGACCGGCGCACGGGUGCGUAACACGUAUGCAACCUACCUUAUACUGGGGAAUAACUUCGAGAAAUCGGCGCUAAUACCCCAUAACACUGCGGAGAGGCAUCUCUUUGCAGUUAAAGCUCCGGCGGUAUAAGAUGGGCAUGCGUCCAAUUAGCUAGUUGGUGAGGUAACGGCUCACCAAGGCUACGAUUGGUAGGGGUUCUUAGAGACUGAUCCCCCACACUGGUACUGAGACACGGACCAGACUCCUACAGGAGGCAGCAGUGAGGAAUAUUGCGCAAUGGACGAAAGGCUGACGCAGCCAUGCCGCGUGCAGGAUGACGGCCCUAUGGGUUGUAAACUGCUUUUGUACGGGAAUAAACCCUUCUACGUGUAGGAGGCUGAAGGUACCGUAAGAAUAAGCACCGGCUAACUCCGUGCCAGCCGCCGCCGUAA
rnacentral:rRNA from 1 species